rnacentral:rRNA from 1 species
AUGGGCAACACCUGCGUCGGCCCCAGCAUCGGCAAGAACGGCUUCUUCCACUCCGUCUCCACCGUGCUCUGGACCAGGCGCCCCGACGGCGAAGCCCUGCCCGCCGCCAACGCCAACGCCAAUGGAGGCGUCGCGGACCGGGCCCCGCCGCCGGACGCGCCGCUGGCCGGCCACAUCGUGAGCAAGGCGCCCGAGCCCGUCAAGAUCGCCUCCGGCGCCGCCAACGCCAAGCCCGAUGAGGCGGCGCAACCCAAGCCCAAGGCCAAGCCGCCGGUGCAUCCCAAGCCCGCCCCCGCCAAGGAGCAGGAGUCCAAGGCGUCCACGGACUCGUCCAGCAGCUCCGGCUCCGGCUCCGGCGGCGAGGCCAAGCCGCCGCACCACCGGCCCAAGGUACCCCCGGUCAAGCGCGUGUCCAGCGCCGGCCUGCUCGUCGGCUCCGUGCUCAAGCGCAAGACGGAGAGCGUCAAGGAGAAGUACAGCCUGGGGCGGCGGCUCGGGCAGGGCCAGUUCGGCACCACCUACCUCUGCGUCGAGCGGAGCUCCGGCAAGGAGUACGCCUGCAAGUCCAUCCUCAAGCGCAAGCUCGUCACCGACGACGACGUGGAGGACGUGCGUCGGGAGAUCCAGAUAAUGUACCACCUGGCCGGCCACCCCAACGUCAUCUCCAUCCGGGGCGCCUACGAGGACGCCGUCGCCGUGCACCUCGUCAUGGAGCUCUGCGCCGGCGGCGAGCUCUUCGACAGGAUCGUGCAGAAGGGACACUACACCGAGCGGAAGGCCGCCGAGCUCGCCAGGGUCAUCGUCGGCGUCGUCGAGGUGUGCCACUCCAUGGGCGUCAUGCACCGGGACCUCAAGCCCGAGAACUUCCUCUUCGUCGACCAGACGGAGGAGGCCGCGCUCAAGACCAUCGACUUUGGUCUCUCCGUCUUCUUCCGGCCUGGUCAAAUAUUCACCGACGUUGUCGGAAGCCCCUACUAUGUCGCGCCGGAAGUCCUGAAGAAGAAAUAUGGCCCCGAGGCAGACGUCUGGAGCGCCGGUGUGAUCAUCUACAUUCUGUUGUGUGGCGUGCCGCCAUUUUGGGCAGAGAACGAGCAGGGCAUAUUCGAAGAGGUUCUACACGGGAAACUCGACUUCGAGUCAGAUCCAUGGCCCAGCAUCUCCGAAGGCGCCAAGGAUCUCGUGAGGAGAAUGCUCCUCAGGGACCCCAAGAAGAGACUGACUGCCCAUGAAGUUCUACGGCAUCCAUGGGUUCAGGUUGGCGGUCUGGCUCCUGACAAGCCUCUGGACUCUGCUGUUCUAUCCCGUAUGAAGCAGUUCUCGGCCAUGAACAAGCUGAAAAAGAUGGCUCUCAGGGUGAUUGCGGAGAACUUGUCCGAGGACGAGAUCGCCGGCCUCAAGGAGAUGUUCAAGAUGAUCGACUCGGACAACAGCGGGCAGAUCACGUACGAGGAGCUCAAGGUGGGGCUCAAGAAGGUGGGCGCCAACCUCCAGGAGUCGGAGAUCUACGCGCUCAUGCAGGCCGCGGACGUGGACAAGAGCGGGACGAUCGACUACGGUGAGUUCAUCGCGGCGACGCUGCACCUGAACAAGGUGGAGCGGGAGGACCACCUGUUCGCGGCGUUCCAGUACUUCGACAAGGACGGCAGCGGCUACAUCACCCCCGACGAGCUGCAGCUCGCGUGCGAGGAGUUCGGCCUCGGCUCCGACGACCUCAGCCUCGACAACAUGAUCAGAGAAGUCGACCAGGACAACGACGGGCGCAUAGACUACAACGAGUUCGUGGCGAUGAUGCAGAAGCCGGCGCUGGGGCUGGCGAAGAAGGCCGGGGCCGGGCUGGAGAGCAGCUUCAGCAUCGGCUUCAGGGAGGCGCUGAGGAUGGCUUGA